UCAGAUAGCAAGAUCCCAUAUAUAUUACUAAUGGAAAGUAAGGGCUUCAUCAUAAUGAUGUCUCUUCUUGCUUGGACAUAAGUGUCAUUCAGUCCCAUAAGGAAUCGGUAGACCUUUUGUUCUUCUCCUCAACAGCCUUACCUCCACAAGUACACAUCCGAACUCUCCCAAUAGGCAAAGAUGAAAUCUCAUCCCAUAAUUGCUUAAUUUUGUUGAAAUAUGAUGAUAUAUCCAUAGACCCUUGGGAAAUAUGAGCCAGUUCCUUCUUUGAUUCAAAGAUCCUAGCACCAUCAGCUUCUC
rnacentral:lncRNA from 1 species